rnacentral:rRNA from 1 species
UACGUAGGGGCCUAGCGUUGUCCGGAUUUAUUGGGCGUAAAGAGCUCGUAGGCGGCUUGUCGCGUCGAUCGUGAAAACUCACAGCUCAACUGUGAGCUUGCGGUCGAUACGGGCAGGCUCGAGUUCGGUAGGGGAGACUGGAAUUCCUGGUGUAGCGGUGAAAUGCGCAGAUAUCAGGAGGAACACCGGUGGCGAAGGCGGGUCUCUGGGCCGAUACUGACGCUGAGGAGCGAAAGCGUGGGGAGCGAACAGG